rnacentral:rRNA from 1 species
GACGAACGCUGGCGGCGUGCUUAACACAUGCAAGUCGAACGCGCGGCGGACGGGUGAGUAAUGUAUGGGGCCUGCCCGAUAGAGGGGGAUAACUACUGGAAACGGUGGCUAAUACCCCAUACUGUCGGAUUACCCAUAUGGGGUUAGCUAGUAGGUAAGGUAAUGGCUUACUGAGGCGACGAUCCCUAGCUGGUCUGAGAGGAUGAUCAGCCACACUGGGACGGGGACACGGCCAAAACUCCUACGGAGGCAGCGGUGGGGAAUAUUGCACAUUGGGCGCAAGCCUGAUGCAGCCAGGCGGCGGGGAUGAAAAAGGCCCUAGGGUUUUAAAGUACGUUCAGUCGGGAGGCGUUACCGACAGAGGAAGCACCGGCUAACUCCGUGCCAGCCGCCGCGGUAAUUC